UUUUCUGCCAUUUUAUUGAUCAGAUAGAAACAUAAUGUCAUCAUCAUCAUCAUAAUCAUUGUAGCUGUGUUAUAUAAACAACAAGUGUUCAAACGGAAUGUUGUUCAACAGAAAGGAAACAUGGAAACUCCUACUAAUACAUCAAUCGUGCUCUAUGUUUGUUAAUUAAAACAUCAUCCCAAUCAGAAAAAAAUUAUAUAGUCGAGGUCUUGAUUUUUCAUAAAUGAUAUUUAAAAAAUCCAUUGAAUUUUACUGUAAAAAAUUUAAGGUUCCUGCCCGAGUCUUUCAAAACCGGAAAUAGCAUAAAAAUCAAGAAAAUAUUCCUCUGUGAAACUGAAUGAGGACGGGAGUCAACCAAACAACUUCUAUCAGUAAUUAUAUGAAAUUUAUUAAAAGGUAUGUUUUCCUUAGGAAAAUGUUCAAAAUUAAUUAUGGUUUACAUUUAAAACUUUGAGAAUAAAUCUUGUCAAGUUGAUAAUGCUUUCAUUACAACUUGCAAAGUUUAAAAGAAUCCAACAGCUUUCUUGAAAACAAUUCUAAAACAUUUUAUUUUCUUAAUGACAGUUAUUUACUUCAAACACCUAAAUACUUUUGUGUUUCUGGUCAGGAGGUGAAUAUUUCAAACCACUACAAAUGAAGAUUGUAAUCUAAAAUGUAUAAAAAAAUAUGUCUAUAUUUUUCUGAUAAGGAUAACUAUGCUUUGAUUAACUAGCCCCAUAAUCCACCUAGAUUGAAAGCUGCCAUUAUAAUAUAUGAUAAGCGUAGCAGAUUAUAAUUCGGUCAUAACAAUUAACAAAAUGGCAUUUCUUUAUUUCGAAAAUUGUUGAUAUUCAUUUAAAAGUCUUUUAAUCAAAUCAUUUCCACAAAGAAGUUGUGACUAUUGUCAUGCCGCUCGAUUAAAGGGAGGUAAUCAUGUAAAGACUAUAUUGAAAUGGAAUGACCAAAAAUGACAUCUGAGGUGGAAAUGGCCAUCACAGGUCACUCUGACUAAAACUACUAUCACCAGUAAUUUAGUAAACUAGAACUACUACCACCACAGUGGUCAUUCUGACCGCAUCAGUUUAAUCUAAUUCAGAGGUUGAGGAUGAAGUGCCAUAAAUGCCAAAUUACACUGACCACCAAAAGGAUCACCUACUGCUAACAUUUGAUCUGCCAACAACAAGAGGUCAAAGUGACCUAGUUUUACUGUAAUGUGAUAAAGGAGGGCAUUAUAUAGUAGUUUUACUGUAAUGUUAUAAAGGAGGGGUGUUAUAUAGUAGUUUUACUGUAAUGUUACAAAGGAGGGGCGUUAUAUAGUAGUUUUACUGUAAUGUUACAAAGGAGGGCAUUAUAUAGUAGUUUUACUGUAAUGUUAUAAAGGAGGGGUGUUAUAUAGUAGUUUUACUGUAAUGUUAUAAAGGAGGGGCGUUAUAUAGAAGUUUUACUGUAAUGUUAUAAGGGAGGGCAUUAUAUAGUAGUUUUACUGUAAUGUUAUAAAGGAGGGUGUUAUAUAGUAGUUUUACUGUAAUGUUAUAAAGGAGGGUGUUAUAUAGUAGUUUUACUGUAAUGUUAUAAAGGAGGGCAUUAUAUAGAGGUUCUGCUGUACAGUGAAAUAUUGGCAGUAAAGUGAAGGUUUAGUGCACUAGUUGUAUAUGGUUAGCCAGAGGUAGGCACUUGUCAUAACAACGCAACAGAAUGUGCUUUACAAAUUCAAUUUAAAAUCCUUCUGAAUUAUAAAAUUGUUUACACAUGGAAAAUCGUGUAUCUAAAAUCAAUUUUGAACAGAAGUUUUUGCCUGAGUGCAUUAAUUAAUAUACCAUUUGUUUACAUUUAUCGAAAUCAGAUUUUUAAACUUGAGGUUCGCAAAAUAUUAAUACAUAUAUAGACAGACAUUGAAAUCAGGUGGCGGACCAUUUCUAAAAUUGAGAAUAUCAUCUAAAACACAUGUACUUCUAUGGAUACAUUUUGAUCUACAAGUUAACAGCAUGUCAGUAUAAGAAUCAAUAGUUUUCUAUUAAAUAUUUAUGAGGGAAUAUACAAGAAUUAAAAUACACAAAUUUGAGACAGGCGUAGUAUUCUUAUACAUCCAAUAAAAUGAAAUUAUCAACACUAAAAUAAACAUCGUCUAUGCAACACAAAAUAUACUUUUUUGGAAUAUUGUCAGUCAAGUACCUGAAUUAGUUAAACCUUUUCCGGAAAGGAGUUCCUGUAACGUCACAAAGACAUGUUAUCUGUUUUGAUAACUUUGCCAGAAUUGUAAAAUGCAGUGCCUUUGCUCCACAUUUCAUUAUUGCUUCAAGUUUAAACUACAUAUAAAUAUACAACCUUUGUUCCUGUACUAACGCAAUACAUUCAUUUUUUAAAUACAUUAUUUCAGAAAUAAAAGUGUCUGUUGAAACACUUUUCUACAUUACAAUUUAAAAUGGAAAAAAAUCAUAAAUUAUAACUUUAUGGAGGACUGUGCUCUUCACUGUGUUUGUGUAGGACUCACCUGUGAAUAGGUGAUUACUUUAAUCAACAGAAGUAUUUUACAAUUAAUAAUGUAUAUUUACAAUACAGUUUAUAACGUUAAAGGGAGCUUCUGUUGUAUCACAAAUACAGAACCAUUUACUUCUAAGAAUUUAUAGAUGUGUGUUCAGAAAACAUCACAAAAUGUUUGUCAACAACAAUUUUGUUUUCACCAUUCUUUGCCAAGUAUAAGUACAAAAGGGUAGAAAUAAAUAAGAACAUUUCCAAUUCAACACUAGUUCUCAUAACCAUCAUGAGAUAUACAUGUAUAAAUGUUGCAUUUGUCAAAUUUCUAACAUAUUUCAUGUACACCAGUAAAAAUGGCAAAACAAAUCUUCACUUUUUUCUGUGUUUUUUUUAAAUGCAUAUUUACACAAUGCAAUUUUUUGUGACAUUUCAAAUUCGAAAACAUUUAUAAAAAAAAAUGGUAAUUGUAUUCUACUUUACAGCAUAAAUUCCUAGCUGGGCAUAAAAAGAUAAUAUUGAGGUCCAAUGACCAUAAUACUGCAAAUUUUCUCCAUUUAGUAGAAUUGAAGCAUUUAA